rnacentral:rRNA from 1 species
UAAAAUACAUCUGUUAGCAAGGGCCGGGCAAGACCGGUGCCAGCCGCCGCGGUAACACCGGCGGCCCGAGUGGUGAUCGUGAUUAUUGGGUCUAAAGGGUCCGUAGCCGGUUUGGUCAGUCCUCCGGGAAAUCUGACGGCUCAACCGUUAGGCUUUCGGUGGAUACUGCCAGACUUGGAACCGGGAGAGGUAAGAGGUACUACAGGGGUAGGAGUGAAAUCUUGUAAUCCCUGUGAGACCACCUGUGGCGAAGGCGUCUUACCAGAACGGGUUCGACGGUGAGGGACGAAAGCUGGGGGCACGAACCGGAUUAGAUACCCGGGUAGUCCCAGCCGUAAACGAUGCUCGCUAGGUGUCAGGCAUGGCGCGACCGUGUCUGGUGCCGCAGGGAAGCCGUGAAGCGAGCCACCUGGGAAGUACGGCCGCAAGGCUGAAACUUAAAGGAAUUGGCGGGGGAGCACAACAACGGGUGGAGCCUGCGGUUUAAUUGGACUCAACGCCGGACAACUCACCGGGGACGACAGCAAUAUGUAGCC